rnacentral:rRNA from 1 species
CCUACGGGUGGCAGCAGUGGGGAAUAUUGGGCAAUGGAGGAAACUCUGACCCAGCAACGCCGCGUGAAGGAUGAAGGUUUUCGGAUUGUAAACUUCUGUCGCGAGGGAUGAAGAAUGACGGUACUGCGUAAGAAAGCCCCGGCAAACUACGUGCCAGCAGCCGCGGUAAUACGUAGGUGGCAAGCUUUAUCCGGAUUUACUGGGUGUAAAGGGCGUGUAGUCGGGAGGGCAAGUCAGAGGUGAAAACUAUGGGCUCAACCCAUAGCCUGCAUGUGAACAUGUACUGCUUGAGUGCUGGAUAGGCAAGCGGAAUUCCGUGUGUAGCGGUGAAAUGCGUAGAUAUACGGAGGAACCCCAGUGGCGAAGGCGGAUUGCUGGACAGUAACUGACGCUGAGGCGCGAAAGCGUGGGUAGCAAACAGGAUUAGAUACCCGGGUAGUA